UGGUUACCUCCAUACUCCUGUGUCCCACUU
rnacentral:piRNA from 1 species